CCGCUGUCAUUUAAUUUUAUAAUCACAUAGAGCAAUCGGUUUUGGAAAUUAUCUCUGAAUGCGUACCUUAACAACUGUGUAUGAGAAAUCAUCUUUAAUCAAUUUAAUUAAACAAGACACCGAGAAUCGCCGGUGAUAUAAUUCCAAUCACGUAUUUGAAA